UGUUGGCAAACAGGUCUCGGGGACUCGAGCUUUGGUUUUAGUCAGUGAGCCGCGGUCCUUUUCGUGGGCGGGGAGAAGCUGCUGUUGGUGUAACCAGAGACUCUUUUUAUAUAAAGUAGUGAAGGGUUAGCAGCCUUCCCUCCUCAGCUGUCAGGGCCCCCUCGAUUUACAGACGGGCUCCCAGAGCCAGGAAGGAAGGGAGACACUCCCAGGACUCAGAUAUGUUGCAGUCCUCUUGAGAAGUAAGUGCCUGAACCCGUCUUGAUGAUGCUUAGAGAGAAAAUGUGCUGGAAACAGCCUGUGAAAAGGCGGAGAAGAAUGAGACAGAGAGAGCCAGAAACUCAGCAAGAAAAGGAGGAUCAAAGGGGCUCAGGAGAAGGAAAAUUCAAGGAUGUUGGGUAAGUUCCUCCUUUUAAAAUGUGGUAUCUACAUUUCCAAGGGAGGUUGGUCAGUGCAGAUGACCACAGGGAGGAGAUGGAUGGGCCUCCAACACUGGAUUAUCCAGGUGAGUUGUCCCUGAUGCCAUGUUUCUGGAAUGAGGAGGUGGGGCAGUCUGGGCAGAGCCAGGCGGCCUCUACACAGAAAGGGGUGGUGGGCUUCAGUCAGAUCCAGUGAGGGGCUGUGCUCUGAGCGGGCUUGAGCUGCCUCUCUGCUUAAGCCCUCCCGGCCCCAGCUCCAGCCCCAGCCUUGGCCCUGUCCUCUGCCGCCCUCUGCAAGUCAGGCUUCAGCGGGAAACAGACCUCGCCCCAGAGGCUUCGUGAAAGCCUCCAGUGAAGGUACCACCCAUGGAGGUGUGGGCAGCUGGAGGGCCCACAGGGGACAAGACAAGGCUUUGUCACCACCCCAAGGGACUGCAGGGAUAAACGAGGGAGGGAGUGAGAACUAGUACCGAGGAGGAAGGGGAGGGAAGCAGAGGUUUCUAGAGAGAUGGCGCCAGAGCAGGGAGGAAGCAGGAGAUACCCCGGGUUUUCUCUACUUUCUCUGAGCCCACGUCCUGGCACUCAAACCAGCCAGGAAGCCAGAGGGCAAAGGAGCCCAGAGGAUGCCUCCUGGGCAGGUGAGGGAAAGGUGGAGAAUGGACCAGGGAAGGAGGGCAGGUAGAGAACCCCUGCACACAUCCCUUCCUAAACCGCCUGUGUCGUCGCCCAUGCUCUGUAGUGACCGCAGCCUGAAAAGCAGCUGCUGGGAGACGCUGUCCCCUGAAUGCAGCCUCGUCUUGGGAUGUGCCCAGACCCCGCCAUGCACCCCAGAUCUGGCAGAGAGGCUUGCGUACAGCCACGCUCAGAAUGAGCUUGGAAACUUCUCCCAAGGCCAAAUGGAAAUGGCUUUUGGAUUACCCACCAUUUGGCUGGAUUAUCUGCACCAUUGCCUCCGUCCAUUACUGAGGACAGCCAGGAGGGGUCUGGACUGUCCUUGGUGUUCCAGGAUGACCUUGUGGAGAGCUGAUUACAGUCUGUGUGCGGAACAAGAAGACACCUACUGUCAUUUUUUUGCCUCACUCCGGUUCAGCGAAGCCUGAUCUUUCGCCUGUGGCUGGAACCCACAUUGAAGAGCCUGUCACUGCUGGUGCUGCUUCUUGGAAGACCCCAGUUCAGACUGAAGCAAGGCUUCCCGUUAGCAGAGCGGUAUGGACUUCAGACCAGCCUUUGCGCUCCCCGGGCUCCCCGGGUGGUGCAUGGGGGCCCCCUCCUGCACCACGCUGCUCCUCACCCUCAUCCCACCUGCACGCCACCUAGCUGCACUCCCCACCUCCACGUCCUAAGGAGAACAGAUGCCAACACAGCUGAGGGGAUCUCACGUCCAAGCAGAGAAAGAGAAUGAAAGGCAGAAUGUGAGGUCAGGGCCUGGGAGAAGCCCGGAGAAGCCGCCUUUGGGAAUUAGGAUGGCUUCUUGCUGGGCUUUUCAGGUUGGCAUGGAGAACACCUGCCUCUGCCACAGCCUCAUUUACAUCCCAAAGCCCCGACUCUGGGGACAGACUCCCAGAGCCACAGAGCCGGUCCCCAGCUCUGGUCCUGCCCGCCUCUGAUUUCCAAGGCCUCCUCCUCCUCCUGCCCUCACCACCACUGAGUUCCCACGGGCAUCCUGACAAAAUGCAUGUACUUUGGGGAACCAGUAAUAUGUAGUAAAAACAGCUCACGUUUAUUUACAGCUCACUAGGGGUCACACAAUUUUUUGCGCAUUUUACCUGUAUCAGUGUCUUCAAUCCUUACAAUAACCUAAAGCAGUAGGUACCCAUUUUAAUAUCUCCAUUUUACAGAUGAGAAAACUGAUACACAGAGCACUUAAGUAACUUGCUCAAGAUCACACACCGAGGAAGUGGCCGUGCUGGGGUGACACUGGCUGGUCACCUCCCGGCUGCACUGGCAUUCACUGGGCAACACUGUCUUCAGAGGCCGUCCUGGGCAGGUUUUCCCGGGGUUUUUGCCACUGCUCAUGUAUUUCUAAGUGUUGGAAUUCUGUCCUGCUGGCCAGAGAAAUAUUGAGAAUCCUGAGAACUACAAGAAAUAUUGAGGAUUAGCAUCUAGGUGUUUUUCCUUUGAAGCAUGACUUAGAGUACAGACAACCGGUAACUCCAGAUGUACUUUUAAAACUUUCAUUUUACUCCACUGGGUUGGGUUAGAAGAGAUUGGCAGUUUUUUCAGACCAAACGGUCCAACUGCACUCAAAUCCAGAAAACCUGGUCAACAAAGAUGCAGGAUGAAGAUACCCAUUUUCUUAACAGAAAAAUACAUAAUUUUACAUUAAUGAUACUGAUGUGGCGAUUACUAAGGGAAUAAAUUACAGAAGGAACUUAUCAAGUCUGUGCAAUGAAACUGAGUGGGUGGGCCUUCUGCCACUUGUUCUUCCUAAGCUUUUGAGAUAACUCCCUCAUCCUGCCUGCGUAACCCCAAACGGAGAGACUGGGCCCUGUGGGUGACACAUGAGCAGGUCUUGUUAACGAGAAGGAAGCCACACUUAGAACGAGAAGUGGUCACUUUCUCUUUGGGGUGUGCAUCCGGGGCUGCCUGUGCCACCUGGAGGGAAAGCUGA